rnacentral:rRNA from 1 species
ACGGCUCAGUUAACACGUGGACAAUCUACCCAAAGGUCUGGGAUAACCCCGGGAAACUGGGGAUAAUACCGGAUAAACCAAUACUUCUGGAAUGGGUGUUGGUUGAAAUGUAAAGCCUUUGGAUGGGUNUGCGGCGGAUUAGGUUGACGCCGGUGUAACGUACCGGCGUGCCUGUCAUCCGUACGGGUUGUGGGAGCAAGAGCCCGGAGAUGGAUUCUGAGACACGAAUCCAGGCCCUACGGGGCGCAGCAGGCGCGAAAACUCUACAAUGCAGGCAACUGCGAUAGGGGGACAUCGAGUGGCAUCCACCUUGGGUGCCUGUCCAACCGUCUAAAAAACGGUUGUUAGCAAGGGCCGGGUAAGACCGGUGCCAGCCGCCGCGGUAAUACCGGCGGCUCGAGUGGUGGCCGAUAUUAUUGAGUCUAAAGGGUCCGUAGCCGGCUUUGCAAGUCCCCCGGGAAAUCCAGCAGCUUAACCGUUGGGCUUCCGUGGGAUACUACAUUGCUUGGGACUGGGAGAGGUAGGAGGUACUCAGGGGGUAGGGGUGAAAUCCUGUAAUCCUCUGGGGACCACCGGUGGCGAAGGCGUCCUACCAGAACAGGUCCGACGGUGAGGGUCGAAAGCUAGGGGCACGAACCGGAUUAGAUACCCGGGUAGUCCUAGCCGUAAACGAUGCCCGCUAGGUGUCACGGCGGUCGUGAAUCGCCGUGGUGCCGUAGGGAAGCCGCGAAGCGGGCCACUUGGGAAGUACGGCCGCAAGGCUGAAACUUAAAGGAAUUGGCGGGGGAGCAC